UCCUUCCUGAAGCGGCUCCACCAUAAGGAGCUGGUACAGAUCCUUCCUGAAGCGGCUCCACCAUAAGGAGCUGGUACAGAUCCUCCCUGAAGCGGCUCCACCAUAAGGAGCUGGUACUUGCAGAUCAACCGGAGGCUCAGCGGGGGGGUUGGUGGGACCCUCUCUUUGGUAUUUUGUGGAGGUUGACAACGUCACCCUCAGUGCGCUGAACGACUCGGACGUGACCAGUGACCUGGUGGACCUGGUGGGGCCCGGAUAGGGCCCCGGCCCCAAGAAACUCAACAACUUUGAUCAAGAUAAUCUGAACUUGGACUCCAGCCUCAUCAUGAGCUCCACUCACCUCCCGUUGCUGUCCCGCUGACCCCCAGGGGCCAAGGAGGAGAGAGACGUUUUUUCUCCUUGACCCCCAGGGGCCAAGGAGGGGCCGACCGGGCCCUGUGGGCCCUCUCCUAUAGACCGGGCCCUCUCCUAUAGACUGGGGGAGGUGGCCCUGUCCUAUACACCAGCCCUGUGUCUCUGUGGACCUGCAGACUGCCUCCUUGUCUCUCCUCUUCGUAUGGCAGCUCUGUGACUGUGGAACCAUGUGAAGUGCUGCACUUGUUCCUACUGAGAACUUUGUUGCUUUCAGUUUCAAUAUAGAACUUGUCUAACGUCAAGAUCAAGGGAGGCCUGAAUUAAUCACAAUAGAUUUCAAUAUGUUUAUUAAGUCAAUUAUAGAUUUUUCCUUUGAAAUUGCAAUGAAACUAAUGCAUAAUUGAAAAAUAAAAAUGAAAUAUUUGGCCUAAGAAAUGUCAGGAAUUGUGCAAAAGGAAAAACGUCUCUCUCUUUCUCGCUCUCAGUCUCGCUCGCCAGGUUGUUGUUCUCCGGGGCUCCAGCUGGAUACUAUUGGGUCUGUGCGUAAACUAGGCAGCGAUCAGAGUUUCCUUUCUGCCGGCGUUCGGGAAUGUUUUUAAUUUAUAGCUUUAUUAUAUGAAUAAAAUCAAUACUUUAAAAACAGCGGCGUUGCUGUUGUAUUUUCGUCUUUAAUGUGUAGUUAUAUGUUUUUAGAGUUUAACCGAAGUUCACCUCGUAUGUAAUCUGGCCAAAAAAUAUAUACUGCCAGCAGUUCUCGUUUUGUCCAUCAGAGGGCAGGCGUUGACUGACUGUGAAACAAAGCGUAUGGGAAUGUCUUAAGUUGUAACAUUAUUCCAUUAACGAAGUCAAAAUCUUAACUUGCUGUUUGGUUCAUUUGAUUGCAUAAAUAGUAUUUCAUGGAACACCAAUCUCGAAACGUAUGCUAUGACAACGACCUACCUAU